GAUGAACGCUGGCGGCGUGCCUAAUACAUGCAAGUCGAGCGAACAGACGAGGAGCUUGCUCCUCUGACGUUAGCGGCGGACGGGUGAGUAACACGUGGAUAACCUACCUAUAAGACUGGGAUAACUUCGGGAAACCGGAGCUAGUACCGGAUAACAUGUUGAACCGCAUGGUUCAUCAGUGAAAGACGGUCUUGCUGUCACUUAUAGAUGGAUCCGCGCCGCAUUAGCUAGUUGGUAAGGUAACGGCUUACCAAGGCAACGAUGCGUAGCCGACCUGAGAGGGUGAUCGGCCACACUGGAACUGAGACACGGUCCAGACUCCUACGGGAGGCAGCAGUAGGGAAUCUUCCGCAAUGGGCGAAAGCCUGACGGAGCAACGCCGCGUGAGUGAAGAAGGUCUUCGGCUCGUAAAACUCUGUUAUUAGGGAAGAACAAAUGUGUAAGUAACUAUGCACGUCUUGACGGUACCUAAUCAGAAAGCCACGGCUAACUACGUG
rnacentral:rRNA from 1 species